AUAGCAAAAAAAAAGAGAGACUAUGUCUACGGUCAGUGUUCUGAUCUGUGAACAUUUGAAUGAUUAGUAGCCUAACAUU
rnacentral:snoRNA from 1 species